UACGUAGGUGGCAAGCGUUAUCCGGAUUUAUUGGGUGUAAAGGGCGUGUAGGCGGGAAAGCAAGUCAGAUGUGAAAACUCAGGGCUCAACCCUGAGCCUGCAUUUGAAACUGUUUUUCUUGAGUGCUGGAGAGGCAAUUGGAAUUCCGUGUGUAGCGGUGAAAUGCGUAGAUAUACGGAGGAACACCAGUGGCGAAGGCGGAUUGCUGGACAGUAACUGACGCUGAGGCGCGAAAGCGUGGGGAGCAAACAGG
rnacentral:rRNA from 1 species